CCUUCGAUAGCUCAAUCUGGAAGAGCGCGAGACUGUAAUUGACUAUCUCAUAUCUCGAGGUCGCUGGUUCGAUCCCGGCUCGAAGGA
rfam:Hypholoma sublateritium FD-334 SS-4 unplaced genomic scaffold scaffold_22, whole genome shotgun sequence.